ACAAUGUUGGGAUUUUUAAGCAGCCCUCCAGCCCUUACAAAGGUUCACUUUUUCAGAAGUUUGUCCCUCAUGGUAGGAAACAGAUGGUGGACACUCAGAGGCAUGAUCUAAUGGUCUCCCAGGUUUGAGCAUGGACAUCCAUCACCAGUCUGGUUGGGAAGGCACUGCCGAGUGUGAAUGCUGGCUUGCAUGGCCCCACCAGGCUAGGGAAGAAGGACAGACAGCUGGUGACUCCUCCAGAGCUGGCUACUUGUAUUCCUGUAUGUCCACGAUGGCCCAGGCUCCAAGAGUUUUCCAAACUGAAGAGAUUCCUUGGAUUAACAUCCCUCAAGUAAUCUUUCUGCAUCUUAAAUUCGAGUCUUCAUCAGCCAAGUGUCUUCCAAUAUUUUCUCUUAGUAUGUAACUCACCUUUUCCCUCCCUUAACAGCCUUUCCUCGAUGAGAAAUGGACUCUGAUGGGUAGUUUCUUACUCUUUCUUUUUUACUUUUAGUAAAAGGUAUAUUUUAUAGAUUUAAAUUCCUUAAGAUUAAAAA
rnacentral:lncRNA from 1 species